UUUUGUCUUUCCUCCAGUUCAGCUUCAGUGAAGGCAGCUGGGCCCCAGUUUGUGAUUAAGUGAGGAUUCUUGGAGCCUGGAAGACAGAGUGCAAUACUUGAGAGGGGCGUUUCUGACAGGGAUGUUGCACACCCACCACAGGAGGAUUUGGAAAAUGCUGCCUCUUCUGUGACUGGAAACCUUCUCAAAGGUGACCCAAGGACCUGCCUGUCCAAGAAGGGAGGAAUGCCUGGGCUGCUGUCACUGAAGCUGCUUAGUGCAAGUCCUCCAUUGGCAGCAAUGUAUCUCACAGACUUAUGUGCCUGGAUGAUGGCACCACAUCAGCACAGGAUGGAUAAAGGACUGGAAAACAGCUAAGGAGGUUGGCUCUGCUAAGAGAAGAGCCACUACAACAAAGAAAGAUAACAGAAAAACUCGUCAUGCCUGACAAAACCCUUGAAGAUUCAGAACUAGCUCUUUUGGAAAUUCCCAGUGUAGGUUAAUAACAACUUUACUUUUUAUAUUUGUGUGUGUGCAUAAAUGUAAAAGAGGACACAGCAUAAAUAAGCAAUAGUUCUGGGAAUAUAUAAAAUGCAUUUUGAUUAUGCCUGAUUCAUUUUGCAUAUUCAUAUAGCACAUACUAGCCUCAGGUUCUCUGCCUUUGAAAACUCCAAGAACUUCAGCCUGCAUUUAUCCUUCAAACUGUCAAUUUUUUUCCCAAUUUUCCAGUAACACUUAAGCCUUGAAAGCUAUACAAAUUGUAGCCAAGCUGUGCCAGUAUUUGAAUUCACCAGUAAAAAUAUUUUAGUCCUACAUCUCUAGCAAAUGCAACACAGGUUGCAUUCUCCAGCCUCCUGCAAAAUCUGUGGAAUCUUUUCAGUGGCUCCUGUGAGGGAAGCCCUUGCUGAAGGCACAGCUCACUGUGUGUAAUCG